rnacentral:rRNA from 1 species
GCGGAGGAAAAGAAACCAACAGGGAUUGCCUUAGUAACGGCGAGUGAAGCGGCAAAAGCUCAAAUUUGAAAUCUGGCACCUUCGGUGUCCGAGUUGUAAUUUGAAGAAGGUAACUUUGGAGUUGGCUCUUGUCUAUGUUCCUUGGAACAGGACGUCACAGAGGGUGAGAAUCCCGUGCGAUGAGAUGCCCAAUUCUAUGUAAAGUGCUUUCGAAGAGUCGAGUUGUUUGGGAAUGCAGCUCUAAGUGGGUGGUAAAUUCCAUCUAAAGCUAAAUAUUGGCGAGAGACCGAUAGCGAACAAGUACAGUGAUGGAAAGAUGAAAAGAACUUUGAAAAGAGAGUGAAAAAGUACGUGAAAUUGUUGAAAGGGAAGGGCUUGAGAUCAGACUUGGUAUUUUGCGAUCCUUUCCUUCUUGGUUGGGUUCCUCGCAGCUUACUGGGCCAGCAUCGGUUUGGAUGGUAGGAUAAUGACUAAGGAAUGUGGCUCUACUUCGGUGGAGUGUUAUAGCCUUGGUUGAUACUGCCUGUCUAGACCGAGGACUGCGUCUUUUGACUAGGAUGUUGGCAUAAUGAUCUUAAGCCACCCGUCU